rnacentral:rRNA from 1 species
GACGAACGCUGGCGGCGUGCUUAACACAUGCAAGUCGAACGGAAAGGCCCUGCUUUUGUGGGGUGCUCGAGUGGCGAACGGGUGAGUAACACGUGAGUAACCUGCCCUUGACUUUGGGAUAACUUCAGGAAACUGGGGCUAAUACCGGAUAGGAGCUCCUGCUGCUUGGUGGGGGUUGGAAAGUUUCGGCGGUUGGGGAUGGACUCGCGGCUUAUCAGCUUGUUGGUGUGGUAGUGGCUUACCAAGGCUUUGACGGGUAGCCGGCCUGAGAGGGUGACCGGCCACAUUGGGACUGAGAUACGGCCCAGACUCCUACGGGAGGCAGCAGUGGGGAAUAUUGCACAAUGGGCGGAAGCCUGAUGCAGCAACGCCGCGUGCGGGAUGACGGCCUUCGGGUUGUAAACCGCUUUCGCCUGUGACGAAGCGUGAGUGACGGUAAUGGGUAAAGAAGCACCGGCUAACUACGUG